rnacentral:rRNA from 1 species
UACGGGGGGAGCAAGCGUUGUUCGGAUUUACUGGCGUAAAGGGCGCGUAGGCGGUCAGCACAAGUCAGUUGUGAAAUCUCCGGGCUUAACUCGGAAAGGUCAACUGAUACUGUGCGACUAGAGUGCAGAAGGGGCAACUGGAAUUCUUGGUGUAGCGGUGAAAUGCGUAGAUAUCAAGAGGAACACCUGCGGCGAAGGCGGGUUGCUGGGCUGACACUGACGCUGAAGCGCGAAAGCCAGGGGAGCGAACGGG